UAGUGCUCGAGCAGAGCAAGGUGCCGUUAUGAGAUACUUACAUCAUGGAAAGACGUUGCACAAUUGGAUUGAAGCAAGUGAUUGUUCAAAUAAACUGAGACAAUGACAGAGGCACAUAUUAAAUAGCAGCUCCUCCGACAUCAUGAGCUCCUACUACGUGCACCAGCUCGAUGCGUCUCGCGAUGUCUCUACGUUCCGAACACGAAAAUGCCUGAUUCAAUCGGAUAGAAAACGAUUGAACGCUUGAGGAAGUGCCUUGAUAUUUUUACAGCCAAGACAAAGUGAUUGCCAUAAAUAAUCCUGAAUAAUCAUAUAACAACAUUAAUUUUGUAAAAGAGACGUAAUAGCACGACGAAUAAACGGCCGAGUACAGCAAGGGCGGUUCUAGAUCUGUGAAUUUUAUUCAAAAUAGUAUUUAACAAGAAAGAGUUCAAUAGUAAUCAGAG